CCUAGACCUCUGAUCUAUUGAAAGCCAAGGUGUUUACCAGUUAAACUAGCCAGGCUUUAGGAUCACCAUACCACUGUUCCCACAAGAGACCAAACCUACUGACACUGGUUUGGCAAAUUAAGUAACAUGACAUAAAACUACUUAUUUUCCCUAUCUGCCUAGUUUUCCACUGCAGUGGGAAAUACCACCCUAUCAUAGACCUCCCGGCCAGGAACCCCAUAGUUAUUUUUGUCUCACCACUGUCUUUCUCAUUCCCCACAUCCAGUCUGUUACCAAGCAUUGCCACUUUUUCUUUGCCAACAUUUCCUGAAUCCACCCCCUUGUUUUUUAUUCUCUUAGUUGUGGUCUUAUGUCUAGGCUUUGGCCUUGGCCCACUGGGACUUAGCAGCCUUCUUUCCCCUUUCUUUCUACAUGUGUGUGUCAAACUCCAACUUGCUUUAGUAGCAUUGAUUAGCUUUUUUCUCUUCUCUAUGUCUUUGACUGGUACAUCCAUUCUCUUUGGGCUCCACUGACCCUGCUCUCUGGACUGGAUUCUAGUGUUCCCUUUACACAUCUCACUUUUUCACCAAACUACCUAAUUGUUCUAAUCCUCUUUUCAGAGCUCAGUCCACCUGUUUCUUCUUUAUUAAUUCAUUCUGUUCUGCUUCAGAAACUUUUCCAUGCAAUACAGGUUCCCGAUACACAUUCCUAGCUGGAAGAUCCUGAAACCUUUUUCCCUUUCCUUCCAUCUGUCCCUCCUGAUGUAGCAAAGUAUAGUCACUGUAAUCAAGUCUAAGUUAAAAACAUCCAGCUUCACUAUUUGCCACCAAUGAUCCUGGGCAAUUAUUUAAUGUUUCCUCACCUCAGUUUCCUCAUCUGUAGAGUGGAUUAUUGUGAAGAACAAAUACGAUGAUUUAUUUGGAACACUGCUGGUGCAUAGUUAGCCCCUUUUAAAUGUCUGCUGUCAUUAUUUAUCACAUCUCAAAGGACAGCUGACCAAUCACUUCCUUGCCUUCAAGUCACCUUCACACCAUGUGCUUAUUUUUUAUCCUGGCAUGUAAAUUUUGAUAACACAGUUGGGUUUUUUUAAUCUGGUUCUAACAGUAGCUAAUGUUUAGAUAUCAGGACAAAGUUAAUUGAACAUACCUUCUAUGUUUUUGAGUGGCUGAUAGAAUGAAUAAAUUAUUGACCAAGGUAAGUCCUUCACUCAGUGUAUAUACAAAAAGGACUAAGAGACCCUUUCUUUGCACAGGUUAGCAAAUCUGUAAGAAAGGAUAUGCUUAAGUGGCCCUUAAAAAUGAGUAGCUUGCACCAAGUGGGUCAGGAGAGAAAUGGUCCAGGUAAUGAUAAAAAUGUAAAUGAUUUUUUUUGAGGAAGAUUUUGAAGAAGGUGAUGGUAGUGGUGGUAGUAAUGGUGAUGAUGACAGCAUGUUCAAAUUAUCCUUUGCCUUAAGACUAGUUUAAGCCUCCAGGAAGGAUACAGUAUUCCUCUUCAAAUAGAUUUUUCCCCCCAUUAUGUGGAAGCAUGUUAUGCCUAAGAAAAUAUAUGGUGCAGUAUGCAUGAGAUUUAUUUCUCAGCAGAGAUACGGUAAGAAUUUUAAGUGUUCUAUAUACUUAUUCAGAUCUCACAUCAGGAGAUAAAACAAAUGAAAACUCUGACUUGUUAAUAAUUUACAUUUUAGUGGGAAAUUUGUACAUGCUGUUAAGAUACCUCUAAGACCCAAUCCAGAAAAUGCAAAUAACUUACAUCCACUGUGCACUGCUGACAGAAUUUGAGAAGAAAACAACAUCAAUUAAAAAAAAAAAAAACCCAAUGUUUUCAAGGGAAGACUGACCAUAUUUAGAUGGCUCUAAUUAUACUUCUUGAUACCAGAUGACUCUUUUGAAGCAUUCGUGUUGAUAUAGAUGACCUCUCCCUUCACCAGGUGUUUCUUGCAGAAAAAUCACAGGGCUACCUCACCUCCUAGGAGUGGCUUACUUACUGGGGAUUUCUUUUCAGAAAACCACACCAUUACUUUUCUCUAACAGCUUAUGCAAAAGUUUUAUGGGGGAGGGAAAAGUCCAAGCCAGAGAGAGAGAGAGAGAGAGAGAGAGAGAGAAGUGUGCAUGACAAUAACUACCUCUGUCCUUUUGCUUUUUGUUCUUUUCAUGUCACAGAACUUUAGCUGGGCUGCCUGGGUAACUGCUCUGGAAGGUUGGAAUAUCUGUUGAGGAAGGCGGUCUGUGAUUGAGGGUCCUCUGACACCACCUUUUGUUGCAUUGAGGUGUUUGAUCCUCUUUCCCUUUCUUCUAAAACCAAUCCCAUCCCUUUAAAAAAUGGAUAACCAGCACUUCUUUUACUUAUUGUCAGCUUUUGGAAAGUUACUGUGGGGGUUUGUAGAAGUUUAACUAGUUAACUCUUUGUGUGCUGAUGUGGUACUGCUGCAGAAUAGCCUUCUUUCUCAACAGGAAGGAUUUUAAUCACUUCUAUCAGGUAACUGCUGCUGUUACACAGACAGAGCAAGGGAGGCAUGUGAAGGUCC